GUAGGUGGCAAGCGUUGUCCGGAAUUAUUGGGCGUAAAGCGCGCGCAGGCGGUUCUUUAAGUCUGAUGUGAAAGCCCACGGCUCAACCGUGGAGGGUCAUUGGAAACUGGAGAACUUGAGUACAGAAGAGGAAAGCGGAAUUCCACGUGUAGCGGUGAAAUGCGUAGAGAUGUGGAGGAACACCAGUGGCGAAGGCGGCUUUUUGGUCUGUAACUGACGCUGAGGCGCGAAAGCGUGGGGAGCAAACAGGGAUUAGAUACCCUGGUAGUCCACGCCGUAAACGAUGAGUGCUAAGUGUUAGGGGGUUUCCGCCCCCUUAGUGCUGCAGCUAACGCAUUAAGCACUCCGCCUGGGGAUACGGCCGCAAGGCUG
rnacentral:rRNA from 1 species